CGUGGUAAUUCAUUCAUUUCAUCGGAAAAGGAUCGAACAGGAGUCAUCGCAUCAUUUCUAGAUCUUCGAUACCUCUAUAUUCUGAAGAAUAGGUCCUAAAAUGGUUAAUCGAUUGUUUUCUCAACGGGAAUCGAGGAAAUGGCAAGGGUUUGAGUAUAGCGAGCAGAGGAAUAGUUUCCUUUAUCAAAAGAAGCCUCUCGACUUGGAAACAGAAGAUGUUGUAACUUAACUGCACCCUUCCUCUUUCUAGUGACCUCCUUGUCUGAUCCUGAAUUCCCUUUCAAACUACUUUCUUGCCUUCCUUGACCAAUGUUAUGGAUGGUGCACUGGUUGAGAAAAUAAUUGGCCCUUCCUUCUUAC
rnacentral:lncRNA from 1 species